AGUGGGAUACCUGGGACAAAUGGUGGUUUCAUUCCUAGUUUUCAAAGGAAUCUCCAUAAUGCUUUCCAAAGUGGUUGCACCAUUUUGCAAUCCCAAAAUCAAU
rnacentral:pre_miRNA from 1 species